rnacentral:rRNA from 1 species
GACGAACGCUGGCGGCGUGCUUAACACAUGCAAGUCGAACGGAAAAGCCCUGCUUUUGUGGGGUGCUCGAGUGGCGAACGGGUGAGUAACACGUGAGUAACCUGCCCUUGACUUUGGGAUAACUUCAGGAAACUGGGGCUAAUACCGGAUAGGAGCUCCUGCUGCAUGGUGGGGGUUGGAAAGUUUCGGCGGUUGGGGAUGGACUCGCGGCUUAUCAGCUUGUUGGUGGGGUAGUGGCUUACCUAGGCUUUGACGGGUAGCCGGCCUGAGAGGGUGACCGGCCACAUUGGGACUGAGAUACGGCCCAGACUCCUACGGGAGGCAGCAGUGGGGAAUAUUGCACAAUGGGCGGAAGCCUGAUGCAGCAACGCCGCGUGCGGGAUGACGGCCUUCGGGUUGUAAACCGCUUUCGCCUGUGACGGAGCGUGAGUGACGGUAAUGGGUAAAGAAGCACCGGCUAACUACGUGCCAGCAGCCGCCGCAGUAA